ACAGGGAGCCGGAACGGGGCAGGGACCGGGAUCGGGGAAUGGGGACCGCGAAUGAGUCCGGGAAUACGAGACAGGAACCGGGAAUGGGGACAUGGGAACGAAACAGGGAACAUAGAAACAGCGGCCGCAGAGAGGAUAUGGAAUGGGGAUCAGUGUUCCAAAGCUUUCCAGUGAAGGAUAUCCAGGGCUGCGAGCUCUACAGCUGGGCCUCCCCUGGGCUGCUGCGGCCCAGGGCCCAAAGGCUGGAGCUGCAGCCUUGCUCCUGUGGCAAGAACAGGAGGCUCCUGCAGGCCCGUGUCCCCUGCAUGGCCCCAGCAGCAGGGAGGGCUGUGAGGCACAGCGGGUGCUGGCAGGAGGGGCUGCUGUGGCCAGCUGGGGCCUGUGAGAAAUGCCCAAAGCCUUGUGCUGUGUGCAGCUGGGCAAGGGCAGCAGCAGGGCUGAAGGGUUCGUGUGCCACAGCCAGCCCAAGCUGGGGAGCCCUGAGGGCCCCAUGCGAGAAUCUGCCCUGGGUAAUGGCACUGGGAAUGGGGACAGGGACCGGGAAUGGGGACAGGGACGGGGAAUUAGACCAGGAAUGGGACUAGGAAUGGGAAGAGUGGACAGAGACUGGGAAUGGGAAUGGGCCUGGGAAUGGGGACAGGGUUGGGGAAUGGGUCUAGAAAUAUAGGACUGGGACCAGGAUUGGAAUUUGGAUUGGCAAUGGGGACAGGGACUGGGAAUAGGAAACAGGGACCACAAAUUUGGCCUGGAAGACAGGACAGGACAGGGAAUAGGGACAGAGAUCAGGAACAGGGGACAAGGACUGGGAUUGCAAGCAAGAAUGGGGACAGGGACUAGGAAUGUGACAGGGAAUGGGGACAGGGACUGGGGAUAAGACUGGAAAGACUGGAAAUUGUGACAGGGGCCAAGAAUUGGACCAGGAAUAUUUGAUGGGGACCAGGAAUGGAGAGAGGGUCCAGGAAUGGGGUCUGGGAUUGGGACACAGACCAGGAAUGGGACUGGAAAUGGGGACAGGGGCCCGGACUGGGACCAGGAAUUUGGGGGAGGAUCGUGGAAUGCGACCUAGGAUGGGAAUAUGGAAUCAGGAAUUGGAGAGAGACUAUAGGAUGGGGAUUAAGAAGAUGGGACUGGGAUUGGACAUGGGAAUACAGGAAUGGGACUGGGAAUAUGGAAAUGAAAGUGUGGGACUGGCAGGGAGAUCGGAAAUACGAGAAUGGAAAUAGAACAUGAAUAUGGGACUGGAAAUAUGGGAACAGCAACCAAAGAGAGAAUAUAGGACAGGGCUAGGGAAUGAGAUGGGAAUGGGAUUCAGACUGACAUGGGAGCAGGACGGGAUCAGGAGUGGGGUAAUACGGGAACAUGCAGGGGACAAGCUGACUGACAGCAGGGAGAGGGGGAUCCUGUACAGGGGACACCAGGGCCAGGGGGAAAUGGAGACAGUCCCAGUGCAGGGAGUCCUUGAUCCAGAAGGACUGCCCCAGAACCUCCACCAGGUUCUCCCAGCGCAGCCAGAGCCAUUUGGCCUGGGGUGCCCAAAGCCCUGACCAACCCCCAAGUCAGUGCCAGGAACCCACAACUCCCUUGCACCCAGCAUCCCUCACAUCCCCUGGAAGAUUCCUUCAUGUCCCCAUCCAUGUCUUAGUUCAAAAUCUUUAUUUUUACCCCAGUUUUGGGUGUUUUAAAAGGACAAAGAGAAAUGAAAAGAAAAUCCAGGCCAUGGGAAGCCAGGGGAAUGUGGUGCCCCCAGACAGGUGUCUUCUCAACACGGCUCACCAGCCCACAGAUCACUGGGGCUCUGCCCACUGGGGGCCACUGGGGAUCAUCCAGCAUGGAUCCUCCCAUGGGGGGAUGGAGCUGGAGCAGGACACAAAGCCCUUCCUGCACUUGGGACACUCGUAGGGCUUCCCUUAGUGGUGGUUUUGUUAGUGUUUGGUCAUGUGAGAGCUCUGUGAGAAGAUCUUCCCAUAUAUGAGGCAUGCAUGGGGCCUGUGAUGUCACAAGGAGCAGGCCUGGCUGUGUUGCUCUCUAGUGCCUGGGACAUGACGAGGGGCAUGGCUGGCUGUGAUUUGUUUGGUGCCUGUGAAAUCCCAAGGGCAGUGUCACAGUGGGGGCAGCUCUCCAUGUCCCCAGCAGGUCACGCUGUCCAGUGCAGCCCAUGCCUGCGGUCACUGCACACACGGGGGAGGCUGGGCUGGAUGGGGGUCGGGGCAGAAACGCCGUCCCUGGGACUGGGCUCUCCCCCUGCCUCAGGGGCCCAGGCCCUGGUGGGAGUGCCUUGGGCAGGGCACGGGGCUGCUGCUGGGCCAGGCCUUGCCCCGUGCCAGCUGCCUGGGCCCCUCUGAUGCCUGUCCCACAUCCCUGUGCCUCCUGUUUCUGCUGCUCCCUGCCACCUUCGCUCCCUCCAUCAAAGCCCCACUCAACCUCUUCACAGUGACCUCUGGAAAGAAAGAAUGAAGGAAAGGGAAGUGUAGUCAGUGUACCCUGGCUGGACGGCAGGCAUCCACCAAAGCUGCUCUCUCACUCCCCUCCAGAGAUGGACAGGAGAGAGAAAACAGAAUGAAGGCUUCAUGGCUUGAGAUAAGGACUGGGACAGAUCACUCAGCACAUGCCAUCAUUGGCAAACCAGGAAUUCCAUUUCCCCAAGUUUGGCCAGAUGGAGGAGGAGGAUGCAAGGAAGAGGAAGAUGGCCUGGGAACCUGAAGCAUGUGAGGAGGAAGUCAGUGCCCCUUUCCCCCUCUCCUGCUCCAUCUCACAGUGCAGCUUGGCCUCUGACUGCAAGAUGUGAAAAACGAAGAAAUGAGCUGAGGAUGGAGACCAGGGAGGACAGAUCCCCGUGGCAGAAUCUUGUGGAAGAGGCCAUUUUGAGAGGCUCAACAGCGCAGGAAUUCAGUGGGGACAAAAAGCCCCAGAGAUCCCACAUGAGGAGGGGCUCCAAACUCAGCCCAUGGAGCCCCGAGAAGGAAAGACCCACCCUGGGCCGGGAAAGUGGCCAGAGAUCCAGAUGGAGCUCAGAGCUGGUGGUCCCUGAGCAGCUCCAUGGCAGGGAGAAGCCCUGCAAGUGCUUGGAAUGUGGGAAGAGCUUCAGCUGGAGCUCCAGCCUCCUCACCCAUCUGUGGGUGCACAUGGAUGGGACCCCUUUGAGCAGGGCCAGAUUUGAGCUGGAAUAUCUGGAUUCCCAGACCCAGGUUGGUGAGUGUGCCCAGCACAUCCAGCACUGACCUGGAGAUGCUGCAAGUCCAGUACAGUCAGAGCAGGGGAUUUCCCAUUCCCAAACCUUGGCCUGAUGGAGGAGGAGGAGGCCACAAGGAAGAGGAAGGUGGCCCUGGAGCUUCAGGCAGACAAGGAUCUGAGCAUGGAGACCAGGGAGGACAAAUCCCUGUGGCACAACCUCAUGGAAGAGGCAUUUUUGAGCAGCUCCACGGUGCAGGAAUCCAACGGAGAGUAAAAGCAUCGGAGAUGCUACACUAGGAGGGGCUGCAAACGCAGAUCACGGGGAUCCAAGGAGGAAAGAUCCACCCUGGGCCAGGGAGGUGGCUGGAGCUCAGAGCUGGGGCUCCCUGAGCAGCUUGAGGAUAGGGAGAAGCCCUCAAGUGCUCGAAAUCUUGGAAGAGCUUCAGUCAGAGAUGUUCCCAGAUCUGCCACUGGGGAAUCCACACAGGGGAGAAGCACUAUGAAUGUGGGGAGUGUGGGAAGAGCUUCUGGUCAAGCUCCAACCUGAUGAAACACCAAAGGACCCAAACCAAGGAGAGACCCUACGAGUGUGAUAAUUGCAGGAAGAGGUUUCAGACCAGCUCCCAUCUCCUCCUGCACCAGCGGAUUCACACGGAGGAGAAGCCCUUCUGCUGCCCCGACUGCAGGAAGGGCUCCAAGCAAAACUCCGCCCUCAUCACCCACCAGCACAUCCACACUGGGGAGAGGCCCUACAAAUGUGGGAAGAGAUGCAGGCAUGGCUCCCACCUUCUCUGCCAUGAGUGGAUGCACAUGGGGAAAUGACCCUUUAAGUUCUGGGAAUGUGGGAAGAGCUUCACAGACAGCUCUGGACUCACCACCCACCGGCACGGGCACGCCAGGGAACGGCCCUACAUGUGCUUGGAAUGUGGGAAGAGCUUCAGCAUUGGGUCCAAUCUGACAUCCCACCAGAAGAUCCACACUGGGGACUGGCCCUACGAGUGUUCUGAGUGUGGGAAAAAGGCUCAGAGCAGUUUGGAUCACCUCAAACACCAGCGCACACACAUAGGGGAGAGGCCCUUCUGCUGCCCUGACUGCGGGAAGGACUUCACCUGCAACUUCAGCCUCCUCAGCCACUGGUGCAUCCACACCCAGGAGAGGCCCUUUAAGUGUCCUGGGUGUGGGAAGAGCUUCUCAGGAAGCUCUCACUUGACCAGACUGGUGUCUGGUCAAGUGAGAGCUUCCUGAGAAGGAAGCCACAGGUAAGGGAAGCCCAGUGAGGCCCCCAACUGCAGGAAGAGCUUUGUGCGCUACUCCAACUCCAUCCCCCAUCAGAAGACCCCCAUUGGGCAGAGCCCUGGUGUCCCACAUUCCCAGUGAUCCAUGUUGGGAAGACACCUGGCUGGUUCUCUCAAUGUCCACCUGGUUCCCCAGAGGCACCUAGAUGAAUGCAAGGUGAGGAACAUCCUAACAUCAGAAAUUGAUUGGGAAGAGGAGAUUAGUUGACUUUAAACUCCAAAAAAGUCUCACCUGCUCUGUUGAGUCAUUUCUUAUGAAAGCAUCAAGCAGCACUGGAUGAUCUUGGAGCCUCCCAUGGCACAGCAUGGCUGUUUUUGGGGUUUCAGCACCUGCCCAGAGCUGUGGAUGGGGCCUUUGGAGGCAACUGGGGCCAUACUGGUGGUGCUGGGAGCCUCCCAGCUAGGAGCCGAGGGAACUUGGGUGAGUGAGGAGCACAGGAAGGGGGAGGCGAUGGGAAAUGUAGGGGAGAGGGAGGAAAAGGAUCCCCAAAAGGAGUGGGAUCGGCGUGGGAGUUGGGGAUUCAGGGCACAGUAGGAAAGGUGAGGGACAGGAGGGGAAAAAGAGGACGUUGGACUGAUUCCUUUUUGGGACUACCUAUAAACAAAGGCCAGACAAAAGUAAGGGGAUAAAAAGCAGUUGUAUUGAUUGAAGGGCCUUCAGAUACAUUUCUGGCAGACUAAGCCCUCCAUGGGCUACACCGAAAAAUGGAUGACAGGUCAUGGGUUUUCAUACUUUUAUACAUUUGGUCCAUUUGCAUAUUGGGGCUUAAUCUUCCAACUACAGCUUUGGGUAAGGAAGUCAUUUACCCCAAGUUUGCUCCUCCUCUAACUCACUUUUUUUUACAUUUCUCAAGGCCUGAUACAGUGAGGUGUCCUUGAUUCCCAGGCCUGGAGAGGAAUUGUUUUGUCUGACCAAAAUGGGAAAGCAGUAGCGAACACUCUGUAUGGAGUUUAGAGUUAUACACUAAAGAAUUGCAGGAUUACAAAUAUAUGAAAAAAUAUAAGAGCUAAAAUCGUAAGGCAUCCUUGGCAGCUCAAAAGGAUAGAAGGAUUCGUGAUUCCUUGCUAAAACAUUCAGAUGGAGAGCAAAGUGAGAGACCAAAAUUGGAAUCUCUACUGGUUAUGGAAAGGGACUUUAGCAGACAAAUGCACCUUGGGCUCCAUAAGGCUGCAGAGUGGGAGAAUGCAUUGGGGGAGACAUAGGGUACAUGGACAGGGAUGAGGAUGCAGCGAGGUGAGCACAAGGACAUGGACAGCGGUUCAGAUGAGGAAGAGUUGGGAAAGUGCAGGAAGAAUUAGCAGGUGAAAGGGAGAGGAGAGAUCAGGCUUGGAAACUUUUAGAAGCCAAGAGAGUGACUUAGCCAGGACAGGAAUCAGAAGGGUGAAGAGGAUGAGGAGAAGGAGCAAAAGACAGAAGUGUGGGACAAGGAGACAAAGCUGGAGAAGUGGCUGUGGGAGAGAAGGGAGAGGCAGGAGAUCAGGCAGUGGAAGAAAGAGAAGAAGAGGAACCUAAGGAAAAGGAAGAGGCUGUGGAAGGGCAGGCAGAGACAGCUCAAGUGUGGGCAGCAGCUGCUGGGGAGCAGAAAGAAGUUGCAGAAGAGGAAGGGCAGGGAUCCUGGGAACCAGGGCUUUUCCUAAGGGUAAAUGAUCCUCCUAAGCCCUGGACAGAAGGCUGUCUGCUGUUCAGGGGCUGAAAUCCCCUGGAGAGGGAGAGCAGACUUUGGGGAAGGUGGUGUUGUUGCUGAGCAUGAUCAGGGGAAGGAAAAGAAGCUGCAGAGAUGCAGCUGGGGACACACCUGGGGGAACUGGGGUGAAGGGUGAGGGAAGUUAAGGAGUGGGGAGGGUGUUGGAGGGCAGGCGAUGCACCCAAAAAUGUGCCAAAAGCAAGGGGAGGGUGCUCAAAAUUGGGGAAAAGAUGGAAAUGAGGGAAAGAACCCAAAACAGGGAGGAAAAGACACAAAAUAGGGAAGAGUUCCCAAAGAGGUGGAAAGGAUACAAAAGAGAGAAAAAGGACCCAUAAAGGGGGAGCAAAGAGCACAAUUCAGAGGACAAAGGUUGUCAUGGGAUGUCAUGAGAUGUCAUGGGAUGUCACUGUAUGUCCCAGGGUGUUGUGGCAUUUCCAUACCUGUGCCAGGAUGGGCGCAGAUACUCGGCACCAGAAGCAGCCACAGAAACAUCCUGAGGGACACGGUGACAACCUGCAGGACAUAGGGAAACCCUGCAGGACAUGGGCCUGGAAACUCAGGGACUUUGGCCCCACUGAGGGCAGGGAACAGGGAGGGAUGGGGAUACACAGAAGGGGACAGGAACACAUAGGGGGGAUGGGGACAGGGAUUCACAGGGGGGAUGGGAACAGAGAGGGUGGACAGGGAGACAUGGGGAGGGGAUGGGGACAUAUGGAGGGCAGGGGAGACAAUGCCACCAGGACACAUAUCAGAGGACAAUGUCACCACACCUAUGCAGAUGGUCCCACCAUGAUGCCUCCGAUCACACUCAGUGUGGGGCCACGUGACUCCCUGGGUGACACUGACCCUUGCCCUGUACCCAGAGGUGGUUGGGGUCCCCUCAACGCAGUGGCCCUUGGACACCCUGCUGGCUGUCACUCCCUUCUGGGCCACGUGUUCUCAGCUGAACAAGUUCCCCGUCCUGCCCUGGUGGGAGGUGACAUUUGGCUGAGACACCAUGGUGGUGACAGUGAGGACAUGGUAGCAGGACAUGCAUUGGGCAGUGCUUUGCUAUGCCCGAGAUGAAGGUGCAGGUGGCACUGUGGUAGCACAGGUGGUGGCAUUGAUGCUGUCCCAGUUCAUGUCCCCAUGCAUGUCCCCGAUGUCCCCAUCCAUGUCCUCCAUUUUGCUAUCCAUGUCUGUGCCCCCAUCCACGUCCACCCUGUCCCCACCCAAGUCUAUGUCCCCCUAUGACCCCUCCCAUAUCAUUAUCCCCCACAUGUCCCCAUCCAUGCCUUAAUUCAAUCAUUCAUCUUUAUUUUUACCCCAAUUUCAGGGCUUUCAAAGGGAUGAACAGAAACCUUUUCAAGGCCAAAACAAAAGGAUUUACGUCCCUUCUGGCAGAACAUCCACGUGCUUGGGUGGGUGGGAAGAACCUUUUUUGGAGGGUUUCCAGCCCACUGUCUCCACAAUCGUUGGUUUUGACCCAACCUGUCCCUGUUGGCUGUGCAAGAUGCCCAUGGACCAGAGAGAAUUCAAAUGAUAGCUUUAUGGUGGAGAAGACCUCCAAGCCCAUGCAGUGUUCCUUGAUGUCACCAGAAGAAGCAAAAAGUAUGACUUUUUUGUGGUCAGAAGUUGACAAAUGCACUGUCAACAACAGAUUUCUGAUAUUGGUCUGUGGAUGUGUCCAAGUGCCCACGGGGAGCCAGGAGGAUGUGCAGCCCCCAGCCAGGUGCUUCCCAACACGGAUCACCAGCACCACGGAUCACCGGGGCUCUGCCCACCAGGGAUCAUCCCAUAUGCGGAUCCACCCAUGGGGGAUGGAGCUGGAGCAGUGUUGUUAUGAUUUUCGGACAGCACAGAAAUAACAACAUGACUGUCCAUAAUGGUAAAAAUGAGAGUAAACUUUAUUCUUCUAAAUUCUACUUUUAUAGAGUAGUUUGGUACAAAGAACAUGAUUUGCUAUUCAGGGUCUACACCCUUUUGUAAACAUUUAUUUUGCCAGUAAGCAUGUUUGAAAAAACACCACCUGUGGAUGGUUUCUCACUUCCCAAGGUUUGUUUGAAUUCCUCCUAAGAUUUCUCAGGCCAACAUGAGAAAGUUGCUCACUUGCCCUUCACACAGACACUGGCAGAGCCUGAAGCCUAAAUUCCGACCAAUGUCAGGCCCAUAGAGCAGUGCACAAAGCUCUUUUUACAACUGGAGCACUUCCAGGGCUUUCCUUAGUGGUGGCCUCGUUGGUGUCUGGUAAAAUGACAGCUGUGUCAGAAGCUCUUCUCACACUCUGGACACUCGUAGGGCCUCACCCCGGUGUGGAUGCACCGGUGGGUAACAAGAGUGCAGUUGUGCUUGAAGCCCAUUCCGCAGUUGGGGCAGCGGAAGGGCCUCUCAUCCAUGUGAAUCUGCUGGUGCAUGAGGAGAUGGGAGCUGGUCUGAAACCUUUUCUUUCCUACAUUUAUCACACUCGUACGAUCUCUCCCCGGUGUGAAUCAUCUGGUAUUUGAUUAGUUCAGAGCUCAUCCUGAAGCUCUUCCCACAAUCCUGAGACCCCUCCACGAUGGAUUUGGGGUGAGCUCCCCCUCCCCGCUCACUUGCGGGUUCCCGAGAGGCGAUACUGCCGGAGCCAGGGGAGCUGCGGCCUGAACGGGCAGGCGGGACAACCAUGUGCUGCUGCUUCUCUUCCUGCUGCUCCUGCCUUUCCUUCUUCUUCUCCUCUGUCCCUCCUGUUCCUGCUCCUCCCCUUAAUCCCACUCCUUUUCCUUUUCCGUCUCUCCUCUUUUUCCCACUCCUCCUCCGCUCCCAGCCCAGUCCGGGCGGUGCCGACACCCAAAAGCAGCCGCGCUCUGCCCUGGCGGGAGGGGUUCCAAAGCGGCCCCGCCACUUCCGGCACGGAGAGAUACUGGGAGUACCAGAUUGGGGGAGCAGCGGGAACGAUCCUGAGAGCCCAGGGAAAGAAUCGGGAACACUUUCCCUCCCAGUCUGGCUUUUCCUGGGAGCACUGGGAGGGAACUGAGAGCAAACAGCGCCCGGACGCGGCUGCAGCCGGCGCUGGGUGGGGCCAAACCGAAGGGCGUGGUUAUGCAAAUCGAGGAGCGAUCGCACGCUGUGAUUGGUAGGCGGGAGCAGCGCGGGGUUCCUCGGUCAUGUGAGGGCGAGGUGGGGCCGGAGUGAUGACGGCGGUGUCCGGUGAGAGGGGACAGGGACUGGGAAUGGUGCCUGGGACUAGGACUGGGAAUUGGGACAGGGAGGGGGACUACGGGAUCCAGACUGAGAAUAUGACCGGGAAUGCGGGACAGGAGCCGAGAAUGGGGAUGUGAAAAACAAGGUUCACUUUCCUGGUAAGUUUAAAAAUAGGUUGUCUUGGUUUGAAAGACGGGUAUCUGCUAGGGAGGGGCAGGACCUCCCUAGAGAUGGAGAGUUCAAAUCCCCUCCCUCCAAAUUAUUAUGAUUUAAAAAUUAAAGGGGCUUUCAGACAGAGGUAUGGGGCUACAAAUAACAGUUCUUUACUGGUAUGUAUGACAAAGCAAACAAACAACAACUACAGCGUUAAUAAUAAACAGAACUCAAGGGGCUUUCUUUCACAAAAGCCCAGGGGCAGUUUGAUCUCGGUGCCCCUGUGGAACUUCAAGAGACCAAGCCUGAACAGUGGAAAGUCCCGGGCUGGUGGAUGAGAUGAGGAGCUCUGCGCUGGUAGCUGGAGCGGCAGGGAUGCCCCAGCAGGGCUGGGCAAUGCAGGGCUACAGAGUAGCAGGAAAACCUCAAAGCAGUGCUGAAGAAGCGGCAGCGGUGGGGGCAGAGCCAGUCCCACAGGGCAGGAGAAGGCGAGCUCAAAAUUCCUGGGCACCUGAGCAGGUGAUGGUAGAUUUCCCAGGAGGAGACAGAAUGAUGACAGUGAACUCUUCCCACAGCGAGCAGCAACCUGACUGUCUUCCCUGAUGCUGAGAGUAAGAGAGACCAACAGCCCCCAACUAUGUCUUUUACCUCCCCCAAACCUUGUGUUAUCUCCCCCCGCUGAGAGAAAACGCCCAGAGACCCAAAAACAAUGUUAGCCCAGUGAUACAAUCUCCUUUGCCACGUCUUUGUUUCAGUCAAAGACCCAGUAGUUGGUCUCUUAGCAACUUAUGGGUAAAAAUUCUAUAAGUAAAAAAAAACCCAAAUAAAUCUAACCCUCAACAUAGGUUUAAUACAAUAAAAUAAUUUAAAAAUAAACAAUUACAAGACAGAAAUCAAGCAAAGGAUUAAUGGCCGCAUGACUUGGCACUUAGCCAAGUGCACACCUGCUAUUUUAGAGACAUUAUUUAAAUACCCUUUCUAUUGCAUCCGUUUGUUGCAUAUUCAAACUUUUUCACAAACUAGUUUCCAUAUUGCAGGAAUUGUUUAGCAUGGCUCCUCCUUGGGUCCACCUUUUUAAAGCAUCCGUGUUUCUUGGCUGUGUCUUCAUUAUCACCUCCAGCUUGGGCUGUGCUCCACGCUUUCUUCAGGCGGCAGGUGCUGAUAGUUUGGCAUAUCAAUAGCAGGGUCUUCUUUACAUGUUCAGACAGCUUAGUUGCAAGCAUAACUAUUCACUAUGAAUAAGCAAAACUAUAAAAUCUAUAUCCUUACAGCAGAGUUAUUUCAACACCACACAUAUAACAAUCAUUUUAAUAUUUGUGAAAAGCCAAUACUAUAAUGUGUUUCUGUAACAGGGACAAGGACCAGGAAUGGGACCUGGAGUAAGGGACAGGACCAUGACUGGGGAUAAGGACUGAGACUGGAACAGCGAAUGGGGACAGGGACUGGAAGUGGGGAUAGGGAUAGGGAAUGGAGACCAAGAAUAUACAACUGGGACUGGAAAUGGGACAGGGAAUACAGGACUGGAACCAGGAAUAGGAGCGGGGAUGGGGAUAGGGACUGGGAAUGAGCCUGUAGAUGGGAACAUGGGAACGGGACAGGGAAUGUGGAAAGAGCGACCAGAGAGAGAAUAUGAUAUGGGGAUUAGUUUUCCAAAGUGCUUCAGUGAAACACAUCUGGGGCUGUGAGCUCUGCAGCUGGGCCUCCCCUGGGCUGCUGCGGCCCAGGGCCCAAAGGCUGGAGCUGCAGCCUUGCUCCUGUGCCAAGAACAGGAGGCUCCUGCAGGCCCGUGUCCCCUGCAUGGCCCCAGCAGCAGGGAGGGCUGUGAGGCACAGCAGGUGCUGGCAGGAGGGGCUGCUGUGGCCAGCUGGGGUCUGUGAGAAAUGCCCAAAGCCUUGUGCUGUGUGCAGCUGGGCAAGGGCAGCAGCAGGGCUGAAGGGUUCGUGUGCCACAGCCAGGCCGAGCUGGGGAGACCUGAGGACCUCAUGGGAGAGGCGGCCCUGGGGAAUGGGACAGGGAGCAGGAAUGGGGACAGGGAGCAAGAAUGGGACUGUAAAUAUGGGACAGCAACAGGGGAUAUUACUAGGAAUAGCAACAGGGACCAAGAAGUGGAUCAGGAAUACCAGAGUGAGACUGGGAAUCUGACCGGGAAUGGAGAGAGGGGACCCAGACUAGGACAGGGAAUCGAGAGACGGCCUGAGAAUGGGGACUGGACCAGGAAUGGGACUGGGGACUGGGACAAGGAACGUGGAUGGGGACAGGGGCUGGGAAUGGGUACAGGGACCAGGAAUGGGGAGAGGGAAUGGAGACAGGGAUUGGGAAUGGGACAGGGAAUAUGAACAGGGACCAGAAAUGGAACCCAGAAUGGGGACAGGGACCAGUGCCCUGGUUUAAGGCAAACUGGGGAGGAAACCUCUUAAUGGGUCCUUCUGGAAAGCAAACUGAGGCAGCCAAGUGGUCCGGGAAAAAAUUUCCUUUGAGAAAAGUGAAGAAAACUGUUUGUUCAACAAGCAAAGUGCCCACAAGCACAAAAAAAUGAACAAUAUCAAACAACACAACCUUUCACCGUUCUGAAGAGAGAUGGCAAAAUUAACAAAGUCCCUGCUGUAGGCUGUGACUCAGCUUGUCCAGUCCCUUAUCAGUCCCUCCGGUGCUGGAAAAUGCCGUGCUGGAAAAUGCCGUCCUGGGCCCCAAUGGGCUGCAGGCGUGAGCUCUGGGUGUUUCUCUGGGUUUUUCCAUCCAGAACAGGUUUGUACAGUUCCAAGGACAAUAAAACAUUCCAGAGAAAUUCUGCGCCUCAGCGAGCUAAAACUAACUAACAAGCAAAGGAGAGCUCUCUCUGUCUCUCGCUGUCUGUCCGCUGUCCUGGACAACAGAGUCCAGGAGUAGAAUGUGGAGGAGUGAGUGCAGUUUCUGCGAACAAACACUGCACCUCCUCUUCCACCCGCCUUGUUCCUGGAGCCAGUCCUAAAGGUGUAGAAUUUUCGACUAAUAUCCAACAAAACCAGAACAGACAAUUGGGGAUACAAGCAUUACAAAGGCACCCCAGGACAACCAGGAAUGGGAUGGUGAAUAUGAACAGGGAUGGGGAAUGAGACCAGGAAUGGGAUGGGAGAUGAGAACAUGGAAACCUGACAGAGAACAUGGAAAUAGCAACCGGACAGAGUAUGUGAUGAGGAUUUUGAAGGAAGGACUGAGAUUUGAAACAGGAAUAUGGGAACGCAACUGAGAACUGGAAUAUGACAACAGAACAGGGAAUAUAGAAAUGGAAAUGAGAGACCUGCAGUAAGACCAGGAAUACAAAAAUGGGAACAGGGCAAGGAAUAUGGGACUGGGAAUAUGGGAACGGCAACCAGAAAGAGAAUACGGGAUAGGGACAGGGAAUGACAAAAAGAAUGUGAUCCGGACUAUGAUGGGAGCAGAAUGGGACCAGGAGUAGGGUGACACGUGAACAGGCAGGGGACGACAGCAGUGACAGUGCGGAGAGGGGGAUCCUGCACAUGGGACACCAGGAGGCAGGCUGGGGGGACAUGGGGACAAUUCCGGGGCAAGGGAUCCUUGAUCAGCUGCCCCAGAACCUCCACCAGGGUCUGUCAGCACAGCUGGAGCUGCUCAGCCUGGGUAGCCCAAAGCCCUGAGCAACAUCCAAGUCCCUGCCAGGAACCCUCAACUCCCUCACCGCCAGCAUCCUCCACAUCCCCUGGAAGAUCCCCCCAUGUCCCCAUCCAUGACUUAGCUAAAAAUCUUUAUUUUUACCCUGAUUUGGGGUGUUUUGAAAGAAGAAACAGAAAUUAAUAGAAAAUCCAGGCCACAGGGAGCCAGGAGUAUAUGAAGCCCCCAGCCAGGAGUUUUCCCAACACAGAUCACCAGCACCAUGGACCACCAGGGUUCUGCCCACCAAGGGUCACUGGUCUAGCAUGGAUCAUCUAGCAUGGAUCCUUCCAUGGGAGAUGGAGCUGGAGCAGGGCACGAAGCUCUUCCUGCACUCAGGGCACU